rnacentral:rRNA from 1 species
CGUAGGGGGCAAGCGUUGUUCGGAAUUACUGGGCGUAAAGGGCGCGUAGGCGGCACGGCAAGUCGGGAGUGAAAGCCCGGGGCUCAACCCCGGAGGGUCUUCCGAAACUGCCGAGCUAGAGUGCGGAAGAGGCAAUCGGAAUUCCCAGUGUAGCGGUGAAAUGCGUAGAUAUUGGGAAGAACACCGGAGGCGAAGGCGGGUUGCUGGGCCGACACUGACGCUGAGGCGCGAAAGCCAGGGGAGCAAACGGGAUUAGAUACCCCCGGUAGUCCUGGCCCUAAACGAUGGAUACUUGGUGUGUGGGGUUCUCACAGUCCCCGCGUGCCGGAGCUAACGCGGUAAGUAUCCCGCCUGGGGAGUACGGUCGCAAGGCUG